CUUCUCAGUUUCCUCGGUGCUCCCCUUUUCUCCCUAACCCCGACUCCCUAACUCAAAUCUGAUUCUUCAAUCUCUUGGUUCAUCAUAAUCAACAACACUUUAUCGCGAUUCACUACCAGUUCUUAUAAGUCGUUUCUUCAAAACUUCAUCGUGAUUUGAAACAAAAGCACCUAAUCUUCAGUUUACAAAAUCAACAACAAAUCAACAAAAUCCUAAUUAUAAAGCUCUAUAGUUACCGAAAUAACAAUACCCUAGAGAAAUAAAACCAUUAUUUCUUGUUUUUAUUUCCUCGAUCUUGCUUUACUUUUGAAGAUUAAGAAGAAGAAAGAUGGGAGAAUAUUGUUGUUGAUUUUUAUUGAUUUUAGUUUGCUGAUUUUUAUUGAUUUUGUUUACAGAUCAAGCUUCAGACAACAUUCUGAUGUACUUGACAGUCCUACACCAAAUAUUGUUGUUGGGGAUUUGAGAUAAAUUUAGGGUUUGCUGAAUUAUUAAGAUGAAGCCAUAAAAUGUUGGCCGAAUCAUUCUGAAGUAAUUUGGUUUUUGGGUUGGCUGAAUCAUUAAGAUGAACCCAUAAAAUGUUGGACUCAUAGAUCUGAACAACUACAGCUGAGUAAGAUGGGGUUCUAUGCUUUGCAGUGGUAAUGAAGAUGGUGGUGCUUUUGAUUGUCAUAUAUAGGUAAUGGAGAUGGUGGUGCUUGUGAUUCGUUGUAUUAUGAUACUAGAGAUGGUGGUGGUGGUGAUUUUUAGUAGUAUUGGGGCUGGUAAUGGAGAUGCUUGAUCAUCAAGGAAUGAGUUAGGGCUCUGCUUUUGUUGCAUUCUCCACCCCUGAGGAAGCUGCUAGAGAUGUGACUGAAAUGAGUGGGAAGAUGAUAGGUCGGAAACCUCUUUAUGUUGUUGUGGCUCAGUACGAAGAAGAAAGGAGAGCUAGGCUGCAAGUAAUCUACUGCUACCUGGUGCAAUGGCACCUGUUCCAUCAGGUAUGACCGGUUUCCAUCCUGGAGGACCUAAGCUUGCCCCUCUGCAGUUGUAUUUUGGUCAAGGAAGCCCCGAGGAUUCACUUUUGUGCAGUUUGUAGAUCCUUAUGAUGCUGGAGAGGCUCAAUAUCAUAUAAAUGGACAACUUUUCUGUGACAGAGAGAUAACUGUGGUGGUUGUUGCUGAGACGAGGAAAAGUCUUAAGGAGAUGCACUACCGAGGCAGGCCAACUAGGGCCUUCAGGUUAUGGAGGUGGUGGAAUGCGACUUUAUUAUGGGAAUUCCCAUUCUCGUUCAUUGUCUCGCUCACGUCCAUCUGGUUCAAGAGGCAGAUACAGCUCAAGAUCAAACUCUCUUGCUCCAAGAAAGAGAGCUGAUUAUUCUGUUCGUCCAAGGAGAAUGCCAGAGGACCAUUCAAGGACUCCAUUGCCUGUCCCAUGCGCGCAAGACGGUGAUCAUCCACGUAGAAGGUUGUACUCUCCAGGAUAUGUUGAUGCUGAUAGGAUUCCCACUGAUGGAAAGCCUGUAUCACCUGGUCCUGCCUCAAGAUGUGGAAAUGAUGAAUUUGAGUCUAAGAGGCCCUAAUUACUCUGGCUCUUCUUUUUGUUAAGGAUUCAUAAAGAGAAUAAUAUCUUAAGAAUAUGUAGCGCAUAACUAGGUUGAGAUUAUUCACUUCAAACUGUUUUGUAAAGAUGGACAUAGGAGAUAUCCCUAACAUUGGACCUGCAGUUGUUCUUCCAAAUGAAGUCAAAUAAUUCUUUCUUUUUUCUUAUAUGUUUUCCCUGAAUUGUAAAUUGUGUAUCGAAAAGAACAGAUUGCAAUUAUGUUUCAGGUUUAAAUUUAAUUGUACUGCAGGCCUGUAAACUGAGAGCCCAGGUCCAUGCAAAUGAGUUGGGCUUCCUUUUUUUUUAAUUGUAAGUUUUGUCACGGUUUUAACAGUAACAACAAUA